rnacentral:rRNA from 1 species
GAGAUUCCCCCAGUAGCGGCGAGCGAACGGGGAGCAGCCCAGAGCCUGAAUCAGUGUGUGUGUUAGUGGAAGCGUCUGGAAAGGCGUGCGAUACAGGGUGACAGCCCCGUACACAAAAAUGCACAUAUUGUGAGCUCGAUGAGUAGGGCGGGACACGUGGUAUCCUGUCUGAAUAUGGGGGGACCAUCCUCCAAGGCUAAAUACUCCUGACUGACCGAUAGUGAACCAGUACCGUGAGGGAAAGGCGAAAAGAAC